rnacentral:rRNA from 1 species
GAUGAACGCUGGCGGCGUGCCUAAUACAUGCAAGUCGAGCGAAUGGAUUAAGAGCUUGCUCUUAUGAAGUUAGCAGCGGACGGGUGAGUAACACGUGGGUAACCUGCCCAUAAGACUGGGAUAACUCCGGGAAACCGGGGCUAAUACCGGAUAACAUUUUGAACCGCAUGGUUCGAAAUUGAAAGGCGGCUUCGGCUGUCACUUAUGGAUGGACCCGCGUCGCAUUAGCUAGUUGGUGAGGUAACGGCUCACCAAGGCAACGAUGCGUAGCCGACCAGAGAUGGUGAUCGGCCACGCUGGGACUGAGACACGGCCCAGACUCCUACGGGAGGCAGCAGUAGGGAAUCGUCCGCAAUGGACGAAAGUCUGACGGAGCAACGCCGCGUGAGUGAUGAAGGCUUUCGGGUCGUAAAACUCUGUUGUUAGGGAAGAACAAGUGCUAGUUGAAUAAGCUGGCACCUUGACGGUACCUAACCAGAAAGCCACGGCUAACUACGUGCCAGCAGCCGCCGUAA